rnacentral:rRNA from 1 species
AAAUGAAUUGACGGGGGCCCGCACAAGCGGAGGAACAUGUGGUUUAAUUCGAUGAUACGCGAGGAACCUUACCCGGGCUUGAAAUGUACUCGACGGACAUGGAAACAUGUCUUCCAGCAAUGGCGAGUAUGUAGGUGCUGCAUGGUUGUCGUCAGCUCGUGCCGUGAGGUGUCGGCUUAAGUGCCAUAACGAGCGCAACCCUUAUCGUUAGUUACUAACAGGUUAAGCUGAGGACUCUAGCGAGACUGCCACCGUAAGGUGUGAGGAAGGUGGGGAUGACGUCAAAUCAGCACGGCCCUUACGUCCGGGGCGACACACGUGUUACAAUGGAUGGUACAGAGGGUAGCUACCAGGUGACUGGAUGCCAAUCUCAUAAAGCCAUUCUCAGUUCGGAUCGGAGUCUGCAACUCGACUCCGUGAAGCUGGAUUCGCUAGUAAUCGCGCAUCAGCCAUGGCGCGGUGAAUACGUUCCCGGGCCUUGUACACACCGCCCGU